UACUAAGCAAACAAUGACAGAAGGGGGUAAAAUAAAUAAGUGAACGAUCACAUUUUAUAUUUUGUGCACCCCCCCUUGGCAGCAGUAACUUCAAACAGAUGCUUCCUGUCACUUUAGAUCAGUCUGGCACAUCGAUCAAGACUAAACUUGGCCCAUUCUUUAUAAAACUGCUGUAGUUCAGUCAGAUUCCUGGGAUGUCUGGCAUGAAUUGCUGUCUUUAGGUCAUGCCACAGCAUCUCAAUGUGGUUCGGGUAUGGACUUGGCCACUCCAGAACAUGUAUUUUGUUGUUCUAAAACCAUUUUGAAGUUGAUUUACUUCUGUGUUUUGGAUCAUUAUCUUGUUGCAGCAUCCAUCCUCUUUUUAGCUUCAACUGUCUGACAGAUGGCCUCAGGUUUUCUUGCAAAACAUCCUGAUAAAAUUUUGAAUUCAUUCUUUCAUUAAUGAUUGCAAGUUGUCCAGGCCCUGAGGCAGCAAAACAUCCCCAAAUCAUAAUGCUCCCUCCACCAUGCUUCACGGUGGGGAUGAGGUGUUGUUCCAUUUUUCCUCCACACAUGACGUUGUGUGUUACUCCCAAACAAUUCAACUUUGGUUUCAUCAGUCCACAAAAUAUUUUGCCAAAACUUCUGUGGAGUGUCCAAGUACCUUUUUGCGAACUUUAAGCGUGCAACAAUGUUUUUUUAGACAGCAGUGGCUUCCUCCGUGGAGUCCUCCCAUGAACACCAUUCUUGGCCAUAGUUUUACAUAUAGUUGAUGUGUGCACAGAGAUAUUGGACUGUACCAGUGAUUUCUGUAAGUCUUUAGCAGACACUCUAGGGUUCUUUUUUACAUCACUGAGUAUUCUGCGCUGAAGUCUUGGCGUCAUCUUUGGUGGCGGCCACUCAUUGGGAGAGAAGCAACAGAGCCAAACUUUCUCCAUUUGUCGACAACUUCUCUGACUGUCGAUUGAUGAACAUCCAGAUUUUUAGAGAUGGUUUUGUAUCCUUUCCCAGCUUUAUACAAAUCAAUAAUCCUUGAACGCAGGUCUUCAGACAGCUCUUUUGACCGAGCCAUGAUGCACAUCAGACAAUGCUUCUCAUCAAGACAACUCUAUUCUUCUUCUUGUGUGUUUCAUAUUGGGUAGGGCAGCUUUAAACCACUCAUCAGUGAUUGGGGACACACAUGACUUAAAUUGUUUGGUAAAAAUUGCUUUCAAUUGCUCUUUAAGUCUCCUUAGGCAGCGGGUUCACUUACUUAUUCGUCCCACUUCUGUCAUUGUUUGCAUACUAUCCUUACUAAAAUAUGAAAACCUAUAAAUGUUUGGGUGGUUUUAGUUAAAGCAGACAGUUUUUUCAUCUGUGUGAUUUUGACACAGAUCAGAUCACAUUUGAUGGUGAUCUUAUGCAGAAAUGUGAGAAAUUCCAAAGGGUUCAAAUACUUUUUCAUACCAGUGUAACAUGGAUGCACAGUGCAUAUAGUGCUUUAGCACCGGGCCUAUCUGUGGCAUUUAGUGCAUUGUAUCAUGAGGAAUGUGGUCUGGUUUUUGAUUUUAUUUCAUUGUAUAACAUUUUGAAGUGUGAAGAUUAACGCGCAAAUCAGUUGUGCAGCACAAAAUAAGGUUCCAAACAAUUAAAUGUUAAAUAUUUAGUUUUACAUUAAAAAGCAAAUAGAAAUAAUAAAAAUGGAUGAAAAAAUGUGAUGAAUUACGAUGUCUUGGUUGUGAUGUUUAUUUUUUUUGUCAAUAUAUUUAGACUUCUGGAUUAUUUUGUUGCUUGUAGCCCUUAACUCAUUCACUGCCAUUGAAAGGUAUAGACUAGGAAGGCUGGCAUUGAGUGAUCAUGUUUCACUGCCAAUCAAAUUUGACUGGGGGCUGGCAGAGAUUGAACGACCUCUGGUCUAUCACUGUCAAUGGCAGCCAUUGAGGUAAUUCUCAAAAAUAAAAAUAAAUGUAUCCUCUUUAAAAAUCGGAUCUUUUUUUACUCGAUUCCAAUCCUCUAAAAAUGAUGUGGUCGGGCCCGAUUUUUGUUCACGUGUGGGGACAUUCCUAGAUAAUACGGUAACUGACAUUUCUGUACAGCCAUAGAGCGCCCUCAUGGAUGAAAUAGGGACACGGUGUCUUUUCACCCGGUCAUUGCUAUUGAUUUGUCUCACUUGAGUUACAUGCUGACAGGUUUAUGAAGAAGGUGGUUGCGCACAUUAUAACAGGGAACAAGUGGCAACAUUAACAUGGGCAUCAAUCAAUAAGAAUCCAAUUAAAUCUCUGAAUAGACACUGUCACGUAAAGCAGCACUCCCCAGAAAAUAUGUUUUGUACUGGAGUGAACAAUGAUCAUCUGAGUUAGAUAUUUAAAAAAAAAAAUCAUUGAAAAUCAGAUGCAUCCUGGUGUACUUCUCCCUCCAACAUUUAAUUACCAAAAUAUUUGUAAAGUGGGAUUUUGUGCUAUGCUGCUAACCAAAAUAGGGUCAUUCUCUUUCAUUCCUCUCAAACAAGCGCAAGACUAAAGACCAGACUAAUUAAAACAACUAAAAUCAGCAUAAUGGUGAGAGGCAUUUUCAAUGAUUUGUUUUUAUGUUGAUUGAGCAUGAUAUUGCCUAAUGUGGCUGUCAGGCCAAGGGCUGGGCGAGUGUGUGGGUGUGUCUGUCAUCCCAUUACAGGACCAGCACCUAAUGGGUGGAGGAACGGCAGGUGUCAACAAUCAUCAACAGCCUACAUAAGCCAGCUAGAGCUCCACCACGUCGCUGGAUCGUCUCUUUCAGUUAACUGAUCUCGUCUGCGCCUCUUGUUUAUGAUACCCCAAUAGCAGGCAACCGCGUGCAGGAGCUGGCCUCAGCUCUCCAGAUCCGCAUACUGUAGCAAUCACACCCACUUAACGUCAGUGCGCCAGAUGCGGCCCGGAUCAGCACUAUGGAAAUCCAAAUGACAGGUUAUGCACUGUUCCGGGGCGGACCUUGCAGACCGGACAUGCUCAAACUCCCGCUUAACAUGGGUGAGCCUGGGACCAGGUGCCGCUGAUCAUCGUCGGCAGCUUACUUAAACCGGUGCUUGGCCUUACAUCAUCACCAGAUCAACAACUCACCUACAGAUCCUGUACUGCUUGCCUGGCAAAACGCCUGCCUGCCCGUUCACCUGUUCUAGCACCAAACUGCCCAUUGGAUUCUUCGGACACUAUCAAACACUCCCUCUUAUCGUCAAUGAAUCAGGUCCCCCAAUACCCAAGAACCUUAACAAAUACAAUAUGUUGUUUGCAGUCUAGAAAUGGGUCAUGUUUAAUGUUGAAUUGCUUGUUCCAAUUAACAUUGUUUUUUCACAAAAUAUUUUAUGUUGUUGUAUGUUGCAUUAAUAUGUUUACACUUUUUUCAUGCCAUUUACAAUGCUAACAUUAUUGCUUUUGAUAAACAAAUGUAAUUUGCAAUAUAAACACAUUACAGUAUGAUUCAUUGAACAAAAUGGACCUCAAAUUUAAUACUAAAAACGGUUUUGAUACAAUCUGGCCCAGAUUGGGUAACAUGUGUGCUAUAUUCGGGCCAUACUUUAGUGUCGUGUCUGCUAUUUUGGUCCAGUUCUGGCCCAAAACACGGUGCUGAUCCGGCAAGUGACUCUUUACUGAGUAUGAGCCAUUAUUCAAAAAGACACUGGGGCGGAUCUGUUUUACGAAGUUGGGCCGAAAUUUGCAGUACAUCUGGCCCAUGUCCGGUCCAGGUAUAUUUUGCUAUCUGGGAUACCUUCACCCAGGCUCUCCACACCACAGACUCCACAGCUCUGUGACAAAUAAACUG